UGGCGGCGUGCCUAACACAUGCAAGUCGAACGAGAAAGUGGAGCAAUCCAUGAGUACAGUGGCGACCGGGUGAGUAACACGUGACCAACCUACCCUCGAGUGGGGAAUAACUCCGGGAAACCGGAGCUAAUACCGCAUAACAUCGCAAGAUCAAAGCCGCAAGGCGCUUGAGGAGGGGGUCGCGGCUGAUUAGCUAGUUGGUAGGGUAAUGGCCUACCAAGGCGAAGAUCGGUAGCCGGCCUGAGAGGGCGCACGGCCACACUGGAACUGAAACACGGUCCAGACUCCUACGGGAGGCAGCAGUGGGGAAUUUUGCGCAAUGGGGGAAACCCUGACGCAGCAACGCCGCGUGGAGGAUGAAGUCCCUUGGGACGUAAACUCCUUUCGACCGGGACGAUACUGACGGUACCGGAAGAAGAAGCACCGGCUAACUCUGUGCCAGCAGCCGCGGUAAUACAGAGGGUGCGAGCGUUGUUCGGAAUUAUUGGGCGUAAAGGGCGCGUAGGCGGUGCGGUAAGUCACCUGUGAAAUCUCCUGGCUCAACUGGGAGCUUGCAGGCGAAACUGCCGUGCUG
rnacentral:rRNA from 1 species